AUUGGACGCUGGCGGCAGGCCUAACACAUGCAAGUCGAGCGGAUGAAGGGAGCUUGCUCCUGGAUUCAGCGGCGGACGGGUGAGUAAUGCCUAGGAAUCUGCCUGGUAGUGGGGGAUAACGUCCGGAAACGGGCGCUAAUACCGCAUACGUCCUGAGGGAGAAAGUGGGGGAUCUUCGGACCUCACGCUAUCAGAUGAGCCUAGGUCGGAUUAGCUAGUUGGUGGGGUAAAGGCCUACCAAGGCGACGAUCCGUAACUGGUCUGAGAGGAUGAUCAGUCACACUGGAACUGAGACACGGUCCAGACUCCUACGGGAGGCAGCAGUGGGGAAUAUUGGACAAUGGGCGAAAGCCUGAUCCAGCCAUGCCGCGUGUGUGAAGAAGGUCUUCGGAUUGUAAAGCACUUUAAGUUGGGAGGAAGGUCAGUAAGUUAAUACCUUGCUGUUUUGACGUUACCAACAGAAUAAGCACCGGCUAACUUCGUG
rnacentral:rRNA from 1 species